rnacentral:tRNA from 2 species
AGGCUUAUAUGUCAACGGUAGACUGUUGGUCUCCAAAACCAGAGAUCUAGGUUCAAAUCCUAGUAAGCCUG